GCGGGACAUGGAACAGUUACAGCUCACCGAGGACAUGACCCUAGAUAGGAAGGUCUGGAAGAUGCGAAUUACGGCAGAGGAUUAGGGCCAGUUCGGGGCGCUAGUGUAGGGAAUUAAUUGGUGGGGGUGUAUUCCUGUUAUGAUUCUGUAUUCAGUGUUUCGUGUUCCGUGUUCCAUGUUUAUUACGAAUCUGUGUGCU
rnacentral:lncRNA from 1 species